UUUGCAAGGAAGAAAAAGCAAGUGGGGGAGGUCCCUGACUUUGCCCUGGCUCCUCGCUGCUUCCCCACAGUGUUUUAUUGAGCGUGCAAUUUGCUUUACUCUCUCCAGCGCCCAAGCCCUGCCCAGACCCGCUCGCCUCCCCCUCCCGCUUUGCUCCUUGCCUGCCUGCUAAUCAGGCAGUUCGCGUCAUGAAGGGCGGGAGAGCAUGCGCACUCCGCCUCCCAGCCCCCUCCCCCAAAAUAAGCCACCCUUUUCACCCACGCAGCGCGCUGAACUCCGCCCCUUGGAGUCCUUUGCCCGAUACAGCGAGCAAAACUGCAAGGGGACACGCUCCCGAGCUAGUCUCUUCUGCUAUAGGUUCAAGGAGCCGCCUCCUGCAAACUGCCCGUCUCUGGAAGCCAGAAGGGUGGGUGUGUGCAGAGACGGUAGGAUGUAGCCGUGGAGGGGUGACUUAUAUUUCGAGGUAACAAUACACAGGAGCCUGCAACAGAAAAUCCGAAAAGCAUCGGGAGCUUCCCGCCAGCGGAAAGAGCUAAUCACAAGAGGAGCAACGAGAAGGGUGCGAGGUGGUCCUUUUUUUCCAUCACUUACUCCAGAGCCCUAGCCCCAGCUACCGAGAUAGCCUAGUAGGCAGUGGUGGGAGUGACAGUAGCUGUCGCUCUCCCCCGAGGGGGGCGAACUCGGCGCAGCAUUGGGACAGCCCUAGAAUGCUCUCGCAGGUCCGAGUUGCAGGGGUUCUAGAGGCCAGAGCACUUGCUGCUCUUGGGAGAAACUAGUGAUGAGCUCUUCUGCUGUUUUCUUUGCUGUUGAGGGUGGGAAAUCCGAAAAAAAGGGAUUUUAGAUGGAGCAGCUGUUCAUUUAUUCUCUGUUCAGGAUUUCAUUUGUAAAAUUCCUAGGGGAUGAAAUCACACACAAAUCCCCAACAGUUGCAGAUCCAGGUAAACAACAUGUUACACACACAAUGCUAUAAACAUGGAAUAAUAUGGAUAGGCAACAUAUUAUUUCUUAAAUGCUCCUUAUUGAUAAUAGCUUUGGGGCUGGGCAAAAGCCUUCAAAUGCUUAUACAUGGAGUAAAUAUUAAUAUGAGUAGUUCCCAUGAGUUAUAUGGAUCUCAUUAUGAUUUUCUUAACUUAGAAAUUCUAGAAAAAUUAGUUCUGGUUUCCAGUCCUGAUUCCCCUCAGUUUACUAAAGGACUUGUUGAGUCUCAGAAAAUUGUUCUUUGAUAGUUUUUACAACUUUAUCGAAGGAGUAAGGCUGUGGAGAUUUUACUUUAAACAAAAACUUCCCUUCUCCAAAAAUCAACUAAGUAUUUGUUUUUAAAAACACCUAUUUAAAACAAAAUAUUUUUAUACAUUCCAAUUAAAAAUCUCUUCCUGUCUAGAGCCCUGAUGAUACAACCUGCUUUGCAUGACCUAGAUCAUGGCCUACAUUAGUCAACUUUCCCUCUCUUGAUUCCUCUGUUGUCAAAAUUCACUCAUUCUCCAACCGUCGUAAAAUCUCACA